UAAGAAGCGUUUUUUUUUUUUUUUCUUCCCUGAUUGGAGUAUACUUUUAGAUCUAGAGAAAUAGUCUUGUUUCAGCGAAGAAAACUUGCAACAGUUGC